rnacentral:miRNA from 2 species
UAAGGCACGCGGUGAAUGCGUA